CAUUCAUCGAGAGCAGCAGAAGGACUGGCCUAAUGAAGCUGCGGCAACCUCCGUCAUACGGAACGGUGCCAAUUCCAGCAGGAUUACCUGACAGAUGAGCU
rnacentral:ncRNA from 2 species